AAAUCGUACCCCAAACCGACACAGGUGGUCAGGUAGAGAAUACCAAGGCGCUUGAGAGAACUCGGGUGAAGGAACUAGGCAAAAUGGUGCCGUAACUUCGGGAGAAGGCACGCUGACAUGUAGGUGAAGUGAUUUACUCAUGGAGCUGAAGUCAGUCGAAGAUACCAGCUGGCUGCAACUGUUUAUUAAAAACACAGCACUGUGCAAACACGAAAGUGGACGUAUACGGUGUGACGCCUGCCCGGU
rnacentral:rRNA from 1 species